CGGGAAUCUUCGGAUUCUAGUGGCGGACGGGUGAGUAACGCGUAAGAAUCUAACUUCAGGACGGGGACAACAGUUGGAAACGACUGCUAAUACCCGAUGUGCCGAAAGGUGAAACCUAAUUGGCCUGAAGAAGAGCUUGCGUCUGAUUAGCUAGUUGGUGGGGUAAAGGCCUACCAAGGCGACGAUCAGUAGCUGGUCUGAGAGGAUGAGCAGCCACACUGGGACUGAGACACGGCCCAGACUCCUACGGGAGGCAGCAGUGGGGAAUUUUCCGCAAUGGGCGAAAGCCUGACGGAGCAACGCCGCGUGAGGGAGGAAGGUCUUUGGAUUGUAAACCUCUUUUCUCAAGGAAGAAGUUCUGACGGUACUUGAGGAAUCAGCCUCGGCUAACUCCGUGCCAGCAGCCGCGGUAAUACGGGGGAGGCAAGCGUUAUCCGGAAUUAUUGGGCGUAAAGCGUCCGCAGGUGGUCAGCCAAGUCUGCCGUCAAAUCAGGUUGCUUAACGACCUAAAGGCGGCGGAAACUGGCAGACUAGAGAGCAGUAGGGGUAGCAGGAAUUCCCAGUGUAGCGGUGAAAUGCGUAGAGAUUGGGAAGAACAUCGGUGGCGAAAGCGUGCUACUGGGCUGUAUCUGACACUCAGGGACGAAAGCUAGGGGAGCGAAAGGGAUUAGAUACCCCUGUAGUCCUAGCCGUAAACGAUGGAUACUAGGCGUGGCUUGUAUCGACCCGAGCCGUGCCGAAGCUAACGCGUUAAGUAUCC
rnacentral:rRNA from 1 species